AACGAACGCUGGCGGCAGGCCUAACACAUGCAAGUCGAGCGAGGACUUCGGUUCUAGCGGCGGACGGGUGAGUAACGCGUGGGAAUGUGCCCUUCUCUACGGAAUAGCCCUGGGAAACUGGGAGUAAUACCGUAUACGCCCUAUUGGGGAAAGAUUUAUCGGAGAAGGAUCAGCCCGCGUUGGAUUAGGUAGUUGGUGGGGUAAUGGCCUACCAAGCCGACGAUCCAUAGCUGGUUUGAGAGGAUGAUCAGCCACACUGGGACUGAGACACGGCCCAGACUCCUACGGGAAGCAGCAGUGGGGAAUCUUAGACAAUGGGGGCAACCCUGAUCUAGCCAUGCCGCGUGAGUGAUGAAGGCCUUAGGGUUGUAAAGCUCUUUCACCUGGGAAGAUAAUGACGGUACCAGCAGAAGAAGCCCCGGCUAACUCCGUG
rnacentral:rRNA from 1 species